AAGGAAUUCAAGGAAAUUGGGAAUGGCGACAUUGUGAUCCCAGGUCAUUCCCUUGAGCAGAGGUUUCCUUUCCUUAUGUGUUCUGCCCUCGCUAAGCUCUUUCUGAAAUCAAAGGCCACUGAUAUGCAUAACAAUCCAUGCUAAAAUCCAAACAUGACACCAACAGCAAACAAUUAACACUGUGAUCGCAUUGUGGUCCCCAAGAUAUAUCUUGAGAUACUUCGGAGAUAAGCUAUAUUCUCCAUAAAUCAAUUUACAGAGGGUUUUUAUGAUUCUUGCUUUUUAUAAAAUGAAAUACACUUCUAUAGUAUUAAAAUCAGUGAAAAAAAGAACUGCAGCACUUACUCCCGUACCCCCAAAUGUUUGCUCCUUUGCAUUUCACAAUUCAUAUUCAUAUCUGGAUGACAGUUAACCUCCAGUGGCAAAGAUAAGAAAAUGUGAAAGAAAAAUAAUACAGAUUGUUUCCAGACCUUUCUUGUUUAUGGACAUUAAAAUAACCUCAACACCAAUCUAUUAAGAUGCCACCUGAAAGCACAUGGAAGUGGCUUAGAAUCCAUGCCGCUGAGAAAGUUAGGAAAUUCAAAGUGUAACAUUAAUUGAAUCAGAUGAAUGACUUCUCCAAGCACUGGAGUCACAGGGACUUGAAUAUAAUUUGGGGUACUAGGUAAGUGGUUGAAGAACUUGUUCUUUUUGAUGAAGAAUACUGACACUGUUUCAGACUUUCAGAUGCCAAAUUAUGAAGAUGAUUAAGAAUGUCAAAACACAUACCAUUCCCAACAGUGAGAACUCUUCAUAUCCUACCUAAUAAGCCACAACAACAAAAAUCCCCUGGCAUCCAUUUACCCCUUUGUACUUCCAAAUAUCCAAAGAAUCACGCAACCACUCAAAUAACAAGAGAUCCAGGGGUGUUUCAACCACGGGCAAGAAAAAUGCUUAAAGGCAAAAUUCCUCAAGCACAUGUCACAGUGUGGGAACUGAGAGCCAUUCCCUCUGUAAAUCCUGUUAAAAUCCCUUUUACAUGAAGGGAUGUGAGGGCUG
rnacentral:lncRNA from 1 species